GGGCCCAUGGUUUAGUGGUUAAAUACGACGCUGGCAGCGUUGAGUCCCGAGUUCGAUUCUCGGUGGGUCCA
rnacentral:tRNA from 1 species